GUCGCUCUGCCACCACAUCAUGGGCACCAGGGCACUGUCGCAUCCCAUCGUGAUCCUGCCAUGGGCUUCAGGGUGUGAAUACCCUUCCUGAGGCCUGGAGCAUACCCAGCUCCAGGCAGCCAUGGACUGUAGAGUUGAGGACUGUAUUGUGUUUGUAGGAAAGAAUUGUGCAGAUAUGUGAAUAUCUUCUGCUCUGCAGAAGCAUGCACAGGGGCUUUGUCUUUGAAGAGUGAAGGAGAUCAAAACCACCCUCAGAGGAUGUGCUGCCAUCAGACCAGCAGGCUUGCAGCUGUGGCUCAUUGGCAGCUGGCAGAGCUCUCAUCAGUGAUUUGAGCACUGGAAUACCUUCCCUGCAUGUCCUUCUAUUGCAAAACCAGGAGCAAGAACACUGAGAUGAACCAUUUGUUCAUGAAAGCUGCCAGCAGAGGAUGUGGCUGAUGAACUGUGAGGGCUGGGAAGAGAUGUCUCCAGGGAGCAGGGCCCGGGCAGUGCUGUGUCCUUUCUGCACACGAGAAGGUCCAGACGAGUCGACUCUCAGUGAGACCCAUUACAUCCAGCGCCCCUGAUCAAACCAAAGCCCAUAGCUCUGCAUUGCUUUUGCUAAUACUAUAAUCAUCCAUUGCAGGCUUUUCUUACAUAACUAGCAAGUCUAUGUUGACUACAGGCUUUGCAGCUUGAAUUCACUCAUGCUUCCUAUUUUUUUAGCUUCUGUUGGAGUUUCACAGCUCACCUAACCUGCAAGGGCCACGAACAAAGUAAGUGAAUAUGCACCACUUGCUGGCAGAACAAACAAUCCUCUCAGACAACAGGAUUGUUAUUAAAACGGGUUGUUUUGUUGGCAGAAUAGGCUUUCCCUGUUGCCAGGGGUUGCCCAAGGUGAGCCUGACCUCUGUGGUCUCUGAAGCUCUCUCUUGUGGGUGAGCUGAGCAAUGCUGGAAUGCAGCAUUUAAGAUGGAUUAACUGCGAACUUAACACAGGAAACAGUUCAGAGAGAGUAAAAGUAUUACACUGCAGAACUAAGGAUGAAACAUAACUUUUGAUCCCAUAGGACACGAGUUCCAAGGCUGAGAACAUGAUUAUUUGAUAAGAGUCACAG